UCUGAAAGGCUUAUGUGGAAAAUAAACAAGCGGACACGCGAUGGUUUUACAUCGUUGUUGACAACGCAUAAAAAUAGGCGCUUGUCAGGUCGUGUGGUUAUAUUAAAUAUAAGCGAAAGAGAGAACUUUCAAGAAAUGAAUAUAGCCACUACAGUGACCAUCAAGACCAUUAAAUUUGGAUAAUAAAACUCGAGGUGGAAACCAGGAGGCAGCCGGAAGAAUACAUCCGAGGACAGGACACAUCAAGGUGCGGCAUGAGGAGAGAUACAACGGGAGAAAGAUGGUGCAGAGAUAAUCGUGGACCAAGUAAAGAAGCAGACACCAAACUGAGUAGACAAAACACACUAAGAGCUCAAUAUUAUUGAGCUUUAGUCAGUUCUCUGCAUUCUUCAGUGGUUUAAAAAAUGUAGUUGUAGUUAAUUAAUGUACUUUAUUUGAAGCAUUGCAGGCCUUAGUGAAAUAGAGACACAGCUCCUAAACCUUUAAGACAAACAGUAAAGUAAGACAGCUUCUAAAGUCGUUCAAAGUUGCUUAGCCCCUUGUGUAUGUGUUAGCCUGAUGUGCACACACUGCCUGAGCCCUGCUUUUCCCUCAGAGAACCUGUACGCCGUGUCCCGUACGCCAGAAAGCUGCUCUACCAGGAGCUGCAGUCCGUGAACAUCAUCCCUCGACUCGAGCUGUCGCGCUACAGCGAGUGAGCAGGACAAGGACAGAGAUGUGUUGGGUGGAGACGAGGGUAAGGGGGGGUGAAUUUGUGAGUGAGUGAAAGGGACGGUUUUGUAAAGUCACACACUUCACCGGGAACUGUUUUCUCAGAUAAUCAAUCAGAUGUUUAGAUAAAAACAUGGACUGACUGCACUGAGGUGUAACAUGUGCCUGUGUGUGUGCCAGUUGUGCUCAGUGUGCUGAGGUGAAGCAUCCAAACCACACAGCCUGUUCUUCAAUCCGGGAUCGUGUCCCAAAUCAGAGCUGCGGAAGGGUAAGCGUCACAGUGAGUGUGCUGCAGCUGAUGUUGACCUGAAAAAUCGUGUCUCGCAGGUACAGUCUGCAGUCUGUGAAGUGGGGCUCCUGCUGCUCAGGUGUUCUCACUGAAGUCCGUUUCACCUGAUGAGAGGAGGCAGCUCUGACUUGAGGCUGUUCAAGAAUGAGCGCCACUUGAUCUGGUUCCACCUGUACCACAGGCAGAGAAACACAGGCCUGGACUCUUUGUUGGCCAGACAAAAUCAGAAACGGAAAUCAUUGGUUUUUACAACUGGGUCCAGUUCCACCUGCAAAGGAUAUGAGGCCAGGGAGCAUGAUUUGGUAAGUAUAACAUUUCACCAGACAGAAGAGUUUGAUUUCCUUUGAUUUCAGUAUUCUCAGCCGGUCGGCCUCAUGUGUGCCUGAUCACAAGUCGGUCCACUUCAUACAUGCACAGUAGCGCAGGCAAAUAGUUGCUCACACGCUCACUGUGGCCAUUAUUGAGCUCACGUUGGGUGGAGAUGAGAAGUUUCAAAGAGAUUUAAUUUAUAUAUUUUAUAUAAUAAAGUAAAUGUACGAAUGACCGGCAAUAAUUCAGUCACUGAAAUUAUCCAUGAAAUUAGCUAAGUAAUUCCUAAAAGUCUGUAGAUUGACUUUUACAACAAGGAAGCAGGUUUUCUCAUUAGCAGAAAUGCUCAAUAGACAGAAAAACAGAAACCCUAAAAGAAAGUUACCGCGAGAUUAAGAGAAACGGCCUUGUUUUACGGACACCACGGGUCAAGAAGGAGUCAGAAUAAUUUGUGUGUAUUUAUCCCACUUUUCGAGUUUCAUCGCUAAAUUGGUGUAGUUAGGUGCACAAGAUUGAAAACAAUUUGUUCUGAAAAAAUGCAGAUGAAGAGUUGUUUGUUGACAGUAUAGAUGGUUUGUUUUUAAACCUCUUACCACUCACAGAGUCCCCGGUGACGGUCUAGCUAUGUCAGAUGCCAGUCAUUUAGGAGACUAAUACUUUUUUGGGAUUUAAAUUGUGCUAACUCACUUUGUUCAACACAGCCCAGAGUAACAUUAAAAAUAAAACAUAUUAGAACUAAUUUUGUUGGACACAAGAAAAACUGAAGCAUCUUUGUAGGGAGCCGAACUAGGGCUUACAAGUUUUGCAGUGCCUUUGCAGGGACUUUGCUAUCUGCACAGAGCGUUUCUGGUGUGGCUUAUGCAAAAGAGAAUUGCAACAAUACAGCGUGUUUCUCUGCUCCCUUUCACACAGUAAGUAUGUCUGUUGUAGACUGUAGUAGUAAUAUAGCAUCCACCAUCUCCUGCUUGCAUAUUUCUGAAAACAUCUUAUUGGUGUGGCAGCCAUGGGUUGAGCCAGCCCUGCAAACCCUGUUGAUGGACGAUGCAGUGGACAGUGGGAGGAAGCAUCCUAAAGCUCUCUUUGCAGACCAGCCUGUGUGAUUCUCCACUCGCCGACCAGAAAAGACAAACGGCAUGUCUCAGUUGCAGCACCUCAUCCAUCCAUGUCUGAUCUUGCAUCGGCAGAUUCAGCAACACAGCCAGAGACUUCCUGUAAUCUAUUACAGUUGUUAAAAAAAAUGGUACAGGAACAGGUCGCUCAGGUUAAUCCUGUAUAAACAACUGUAAAUAUUGUUUUUCCUUCUUUAAAUAUUGUUGGCUUAUUAGAAAUAUUCUUGUUUAAUUGUUGUUCUCCAAAAAGUGGAGAAACAUCACUGAUGAUGUUCAUGAAUCCCCAGCUGACUCUGGUAAUCAUUUUAUGUUGUGAUUAUUAUGAUAAUAACAGAAACAGAUGCAUCUAUGUCAUGCAGUACUAAUUUAAAAACUCAAAUAUUUUGGACAAUUUAUAUUUUUCUAUCACAAUAAAUACAAGUCUUCAAGUAAACACACAGAGCAGUAGUGGAUGUUUUUUUUAAAAUAUUAUUUUUCUUUAUUUUGAUUAACCACCAACCACAUUGUUUAUAUUUGUAGUUUUUGAAGUAUGGAGCACCACAAAAACUACAAAUAAAAAAAAACAAACAAUCCAGCUAACCAAUUUUGUGCUCUCUACUACCAGAACCCACCAAAUUGUAUCUCAGCCCAGCCCGACGGGCCGAUGGGCUGGGCUGAGAUGGAUUUUGGUAGCCCGACUGGAGAAAUCGCUAGCCCCGGGACGUCGGGCUAGCGAUUUUGCGAGCCCUCACUUGAAUUUUUGAAUUUCAGUUUAAGGCAAUUAAAUUCAAUCCAAAAAUUCAAUCCCAACAAUCAAGUGAUCCCCUGUGAGCAACAGUGGACAGGAAAAACUCCCUUUUAACAGGAAGAAACCUGUGACAGAACCAGGCUCAGGGAGGGGCAGUCUUCUGCCAUGACUGGUUGGGAGGUGAGGGCAAAAUAAAACUGAACAUAAAGGAGAGCACAGUAUAGUUAUGAGAGAUUGUGGACCGUGGCUGGAAAACAUUACUGUUUUCAAAAGGCACCCGGUCCACAACCACAACUACAGUAGAGCUGGAAUGGAUAAUAAGGAUACUCCCACAGAGGACGGACAUUCACUUCAAAAUAUUUGCAACGGCCCAGCAAGCUACGGGAACAACAACGGCUGCUGUGACAAGACCUAGACCUACUUUAAGUGCGAGUUUGGCACCAGCACACCACCAACCACUAGUCUGAGACUCGUCAGUAGGUGGUUCUGUGACACGAGUCUUUCGUUCAUUCAACUCCCUUUCAAGGAGCUGCCCUCAGAUUCAGACCUCAGCACCACCCAGUGACAGCAGACAGAUCAUCCAACAUGUUCACAUGUUAACUGCAAAAUGAACUGAUGAAAACAGUACAAAGGUUAAAGUACCACAUGUGCUGUAGUGAAAGCUGCAGCUUUAUUGAUAAAGUUAAAGACAAAAAAACAAAAGGAUUAAUCACUCAUGUAACUGUGUCACUAUAUAUCAGCAUUAACAGGACCUCAGUUUGGUGUUUCACAAAGCUGCUGAUCUCAGACCUGCACAGCUUCCGAUUUAAACACUUGAUGUACUCAGCUGCAUGAAGAGCAUAUGAGAUUUUCUCUAACACAAUUAAAUAAAACCUGAUGAAGGUCAAAGGUC
ensembl:lncRNA